CCAAGCGACGCUCUCUAGCCAAGAGAGCACUGGGGUUAGGGAUAUACAUACAAGAGUUCUAACUCUUUCAUUCAUUGACUAUGUGAUCCUGCCCUCUCUGAGCCUCAAUUUACUCAUCAAUAAAUUGGGAGCAAUAACUUUACCAGGAUUAUGCAGGUGCAAGAGUUGCUUGCUGGUCUAGCCUGGGGAACCGACAGUAAAGAAAUCACCUGCAAUGCAAGAGACGCGGGUUCGAUCUGUGAGUCAGGAAGAUUCCCUGGAGGAAGGCAUGGCUACCCACUCCAGUACUCUUGCCUGGGGACUUGCAUGCACAGAGGAGCCUGGCGGGCUACAGAUCAUGGGGUCACAAAGAGUCCGACACGACUGAGCAACUGAAUACUCACGAUCAUCCUACAGGGCCUUGGAGGCAGGCGCUGUUUGACUCAGUUCAGCUCAGUAAACCCUGUGGAGCCCUGUCCGCAGCAGGUGAUGGUGCCAGCCAGGCUGCCUGCCUUCCCGCUGCACCUGGGGCCAGGACGAGGAGAAGGAGUCCGUCUACCUGCCGGGCACAGGAAACACAAGAGAGGAUUGAAGGCAGAGGCCACAUCUGAUCCACCCCAGUGCCUAGCUCAGGGUCUGCACAGAGCGGAGGUGUGGGUGUGUUUGUUGAACGGAUCUCAUCUGAACCGAACUGGCGGUGCCUUGUGAAGGGCCACAGACUUUGAUCCUUCUCUGGCUCCCAGGCAGAGUACCACGUUUCGGGUUUAGCAUCCCUACCAAGUGGACAUGCAGAGGCACAGAGGCCCUGAGAGAUAGGAAACUGAAAGGGACAUCAGGCUUCUCGUGCUCAUGUUCCAGGGGAGGAAGCUGAAGCGCAGAGCGACAAAGGCACAGUCCAUGGGCUGAAGAUCAGAGGGCAUAACAUGAAUCACGCUCAGAUGGCCUUGGCCCUGUCCCAUGGCUCUCCUCCCAGAAAUGCUAAAGUCUAGGUUUCCUCAUCUGCAAAACUGGGCUGGAUGCAGCAAUCUCUGGAAGCUCAGCCACAGUCCAGUUCUGUGAACUCACAGACUCCAGGCGCCGCGGUAGGGGAGGAGAGAUCAUUCCAGAGGCUGUUUAUCAUCUUGUCGUACCCCCUUGAGCUCUUGGAGCAAAACAUUCCCAAGGAGCAGGGUGAUUCAUCACAGCACCAUUUGCCAGUUCCAGAGAAAAGACAGACCAUGAAAUACAUUCUGCAACUGUUAAACAGGAGACAAAGAAAUUUUAAGAUUAAGUUUCUCUUUAGCAGACGGAGAAGGAAUUGGGAUAUAUAUAUAUAUAUACACUUUUUUUUUUUUUUACCUCCCAGAGAAUCAGGCUUUGAGGGAAGGAAACUAUCAUGGUUUCAGCCAAAUUGUCCCAAAAUGCAAGGUGGCAUCCUCAGUGAACCCCAAGGACAACAUUGCUUUUUAAACAACAUGUGGACUGAACCUGACAACAGCAACUGUGACGGCUGACUGACCGGAUGUGAGUUAAAACCAAAUUAGGUUGACUGCUUUUGUUGUUCUUGGCACUAAUCCAUUCCAGAACUCUGAUGGUCAAAAGGAAGAUCAGAAACUUAUCUUGCUUGCUCCACUUAAAUUAAGCAAAGGAGAGCAUGCUGGAUGGUUUGGACAUCUUGUAACUCAAGAAGACAAGGAGGGAGGUAACAGGUGAGUCUGGUUGGGGGAUCUAGGGGGAAACAUGGUUUAAUUGCGAGAACUUGAAUGGUGAGCUUCCACCAUUCACAGAAAACCACCGGAACUGCUCCAGGAGUGCAGGAACAGGUGGAUAACCCAUCUCUUAUUUUGAAGUCACUGGAUAUCUAUGCCCUGAGUUUGCAUCUCUUAUAAUACGAUUGUUAUAUUCAAGUCUUUAAAAAUGGUACUUCUUGUACAUAGGUAGAUG